rnacentral:sRNA from 1 species
GUUGAAUAUGCGCUGAAUUUUCCCAUAACGGAAAAACGGGGGAACCAACAUGACCGCCAGCCGGUCAAGGGGUGAAUCGGAACCGAAAUGUUCGGUCCGUAGGGCUUCCACAGUCCGAAUCCGCCAGCUAACCUCGUAAGCCACAGUGGAUAAUGAU